CGUUAGAUCACCGAAGUCAAGCAUCAUUGGGCGCGGUCAGUACUUGGGUGGGUGUGACCACCUGGGAGCACCGCGUGCCGUU